UACGUAGGGUGCGAGCGUUGUCCGGAAUUAUUGGGCGUAAAGGGCUCGUAGGCGGUUUGUCGCGUCGGGAGUGAAAACUCAGGGCUUAACCCUGAGCCUGCUUCCGAUACGGGCAGACUAGAGGUAUGCAGGGAGAACGGAAUUCCCGGUGUAGCAGUGAAUGCGUAGAGAUCGGGAGGAACAUCUGUGGCGAAGGCGGCCAUCUGGACCAGCACUGACGACGAGGCACGGAAAGCGUGGGGAGCAACAGG
rnacentral:rRNA from 1 species